rnacentral:rRNA from 1 species
UGAGGGUUUGAUCCUGGCCCAGGAUGAACGCUAGCGGCGUGCUUUAAGCAUGCAAGUGGGACGGUCCGUAGGACCGAACAUGUCAGCUUGUAACUAGUAACCAGUAACGGUUAAACUUUAAACAUAUGAAGAAAACUUUUCGGUUUUUAGAGUUUAAGGUUUAUAAAGACGCAAAAUUGUUUUAUCAAAAGGUUGUAAUUAUUACUAAAGAUUUUACAAAACAAUACUGGGAGCUUGGAGAUCAACUAAGAAGAAGUGCUUUGUCUGUCGUAUUAAAUAUUGCAGAAGGAGCAGGAAAAGAUUCCGACAAGGAAUUCAACCGUUAUCUCAAUAAUUCACUUGGCUCAAUAAAUGAAUCAGCAGCAGCUGUUGAUGUGGCUUAUGAUGAAAAACUCAUUAGUCCGAGCGAAAAAGUGAAAUUGUUGGAUUCAGCAAAACAAAUUGCUGAUCAACUAGGUGGAUUUUCUAAGAAACUUAGAAUGCGUUAAUUGUUACUUGUUUUUUGUUAAUUGUUGGUUUGUUCUGUCCUGCGGACAGUCGCGAACGGCUGAGUAAUACGUAAGUACUUACACCAUGGUGUGGAAUACCUCCGCGAAAGCGGGGCUAAUACCGCAUGACCUCAUGCGUAGCAUGAAGAAUUUCUAAUUGACCUAAUUAACCUAAUAACUAAUCAACAACCAAACACCAAUGAAAGCAGUAUUUUAAUUUUUGUUCAUUGGGAAUUUAAGAAUUGGGGUUUGAUUAGAAAUUAGAAAUUAGAAAUUAGGUAUUUUUCCUGCUAUGCAGGAGAAAAGGACUUAACUGUCCGCCGAGGGAAAGGCUUGCGGCCCAUCAGCUAGUUGGUAGGGUAAUGGCUUACCAAGGCUACGACGGGUAGGGGAUGUGAGAGCAUGUUCCCCCAGAAUGGGACUGAGACACGGCCCAUACACCUACGGGUGGCAGCAACUGGGAAUCGUACGCAAUGGACGAAAGUCUGACGUCGCGACGCCGCGUGAGGGAUGAAGGCAGAUUUGUUGUAAACCUCUUUUGCCAAGGCUGAGAAGUCUUGGAGAAUAAGCACCGGCUAACUCCGUGCCAGCAGCAGCGGUAAUACGGAGGGUGCAAGCGUUAUCCGGAUUUAUUGGGCGUAAAGCGUUUCGUAGGCGAUGAAAUAAGUCACUUUUCAAAGACCACGGCUUAACCGGGGGAAGGGGAGUGAUACUAUUUUAUUUGAAUCAUUUAGGGGCUACCGGAACUAUCGGUGUAGGGGUGAAAUCCGUUGAUAUCGAUAGGAACACCAAGGGCGAAGGCAGGUAGCUGGGAGUUGAUUGACGCUGAGGAACGAAAGCUAGGGGAGCGAAAGGGAUUAGAGACCCCUGUAGUCCUAGCCGUAAACUAUGCUCGCUAGCCCUCUGUCCGAGUUUACUCGGUGGGGAGCGUAAGCUAACGCGUUAAGCGAGCCGCCUGGGGAGUACGAACGCAAGUUUAAAACUCAAAGGAAUUGACGGGGACCCGCACAACCAGUGGAGCAUGUGGUUCAAUUCGAGACGAACCGAAAAACCUUACCUGGGCUUGACAUGCUACCGUUUUAUUUUUGUAGAAAUACAGAGAGAUCCUUCGUAAGUUGGAUGGUAGCACAGGUGUUGCAUGGCUGUCGUCAGCUCGUGCCGUGGGGUGUUCCCUUCAGUGGGGUAACGAGCGCAACCCCUGCCCUAUGUUGAAUAUUCAUAGGGGACUUUUUAAGUUUUGUCUUAUUGGGAAGUGGGGACGACGUCAAGUCAGCAUGGCCCUUAUGUCCAGGGCGACACACAUGCUACAAUGGAGCCGACAAAGGGUUGCCAAGUGGUAACACGGAGCUAAUCCCAGAAACGGCUUCUCAGUGGGGAUUG